rnacentral:lncRNA from 1 species
UGAGCUCCUGGCUGGAGAAUUCGCUCACAAGGGUGAUGUGAUCAUCUUACGUGUAAAAGAAAACCGAAUUUCACUUCUGGUGGUGACUAUUGUCUGAUUCAUCAUUACAGUAACCACCCAAGGAAACCCUGCCCACAAAAAGCAUUCUUCUGGAGAAGUAACAGUUUUUGGUGACACACAUGAUGGCAACAAUGAACGCUUUGUGGCACGAUGACCUCUAUGAAAAAGAGAGAUAUACAGGUUUUGCUUUUGUUCACUCAACUAAUUACCAACCUUUCAUUAUACCUCUACUCGGACAUCUAAACUUCAGUUAAGCUCUAUGUUUAAGUGGGAUGGAUCUUCAAUUUGCCUACCUAAGGAUUUGAAGUCAGGUUUACAGAGGCAUCAUUUUACAAUUAUCAACUUUGAUAAAUGCAGAUUGUCAUGGAACUACCACCAGAAUCCAGAUAGAGAACAUGCUAUCAUCCCUGUUAUAUCCCUUUGUGGCUAAUCCACCACACUGUUCCAUCCACCAAAGUCCCUAGAAGCCACUGAUCUGUUUUAUGUCCCUCUGGUUUUGUCUUUUUCAAAGUCUGAAAUAAAUGGAAUUGUGGAGUGUGUAAAAAAAAAAA